UACGGAGGAGGCAAGCGUUAUCCGGAAUUAUUGGGCGUAAAGCGUCCGCAGGUGGCACUUCAAGUCUGCUGUCAAAGACCGGGGCUUAACCCCAGAAAGGCAGUGGAAACUGAAGUGCUAGAGUGCAGUAGGGGUAGAGGGAAUUCCCGGUGUAGCGGUGGAAAUGCGGUAGAGAUCCGGGAAGAACACCGGUGGCGAAAGGCG
rnacentral:rRNA from 1 species